CUCAAUGAAUAAUUCAAUAGCCGCAAUUACCUUUGUGCUAAGGUAGCAUAAUCAUUUGCCUUUUAAUUAAAGGCUAGAACGAAAGAUUUAACAUUUUAAAUUCUAUCCCAUCCUUCUAUCUUUAACUUAUCCUAAAUAUAAAAAGAUAUUUAUUCCUUAAAAAGACGAUAAGACCCUAUUGAACUUAACUUCAGUUAAACUGGGGCAGUUAAUUAAAUAUAAUUUUAAUUUCAUUAUUUCAAAAAAUGAUCUAGUACAACCAAUUAUAUGAACAAGUUACCAUAGGGAUAACAGCGUAAUAAUUUUCUUAAGAUCUUAUUUAAAAAAUAACUUGCGACCUCGAUGUUGAAUUAAUAACCCUUUACAAUGCAAAAAUUUAAAACGGAAGUCUGUUCGACUU
rnacentral:rRNA from 1 species